CGCAGGCUCACAGGGCACACAGACUCACAGGGCACACAGGCUCAUGGGGCACAGCGUCACGGGGCACAGACUCACAAACUCACAGGUCACAGAGGCUCAUGGGGCGCAGGCUCACAGGGCACACAGGCUCACAGGGCACACAGGCUCAUGGGGCACAGAGUCACAGGGCACAGACUCACAGGGCACACAGGCUCACAGGACACACAGGCUCAUGGGGCACAGAGUCACAAGGCACAGACUCACAGGGCACACAGGCUCACGGGACACAGGCUCAUUGGGCACACAGUCACAGGGCACACAGGCUCACAGGGCACACAGGUUCAUGGGACACACAGGCUCACGGGGCACAGAGUCACGGGGCACAGACUCACAAGGCACAGACUCACAGGGCACACAGGCUCACGGGACACAGGCUCAUUGGGCACACAGUCACAGGGCACACAGGCUCACAGGGCACACAGGUUCACAGGACACACAGGCUCACAGGGCACAGAGUCACAGGGCACAGACUCACAGGGCACACAGGCUCACAGGGCACAGAGUCACAGGGCACA
rnacentral:lncRNA from 1 species